GGCGAGGUUGUGUGCACAUGCAUGUUUGGCCUUGGUGAUUUUUAAACGCAAGUUUCUUGUUUUCUAAAUCGGUAAUCCUGUCACGUGGUUCAAAGCCUAAGCCCAUAUGAUAGGAAAAGAUACUGAGAAAGUGACUCCAGCACAGUGGGGUAGACGAGGUGCCAUGUCUGAAUCUGGGAGCGCCUUUUCGGAGCCUUGGAAACCCAAGGCCCUCUUCCUAUUCUCCUCUCUCUGUAGCAGCAGCAGGACACACAGAGGGGCCUGGUCACUUCAGGGAGGGAGCCCCAAUCCUGUGGGUGUGUGUGGGGGUCCUUAAUGAUUAAUCCACUUCAGCCUGAAGUGAUUAGCCCUCCACAGUGGGGAACAGCUCCCUUUGUGAGUUGAGUGCCCGGCCAUUAGCCACAACUCACAGAUGGCUAGGGCAGGCUGAGCCCAAGCCCCUUGGGGAGUUGGCUGCUGACCCUUGCCCUGAGAGAUAGGAAGAGCCUAGGGGUGAAGGCAGGGACACAGGCUCCCAGGUGGGGUUUGGGGGUGGGAGAAGCAGCUGAAGGAGUGAGGACCCAAAUGCCCCAAGGCUACCUGGGGCCAGUGGCUGCUGUGUGUCCAGAGGUUUAAGUCAGCAGUCCUCAACCUUUCUGACACCAGGGACAGAUUUCAUGGGAGACAAUUUUUUCAAGGACCGGGAGGAGAGGGAUGGUUUUUUGGGUAAUUCGAGCGCCUUACAUUUAUUGCGCACUUUAUUUCUAAUCUAAUGCUGCCGCUGAUCUGACAGGAGAUACCAGUCCAUGGCCCGGAGGUUGGGGACCCCUGGUUUAAAUCACUCCAGAAAUACUUGUUCCCCACUCUUCUCUCUUUUCCUCAGGUGGCUUUAGUCUUUGCCAGAGCCUGAAUCCCCACCCAGAAGCAUUUCAGACAGCUUCACAUGCACCUGGGGGCUCCCCAUAGACCUUGUUCUGCUUGGGGGCUCCUGCCUGCCCAGGGGAGGGCUGGGGGACUCCGGGUGGCUCUCUGUGGGCAGGAGGAAGGCUUGGGACUGGGGUCAUCUGCCUCUGGCCCCCGGCCAAUGCUGGUUCUGGUAGGGUGCGUGGGAGAAACUCCUUUCUUUCUGCUCAUUUCCAUGCAAUAGGCCUUCAGCCUUUCUACAUUCCAUCUAUGAUGCCCUGAGACCCAGCCCCUGGUGCCUGGGCACAGGGCACUGAAUCCAGGCUCCAAGCCCAGCCGGCACUGGUGGGGCGAAAACCGGCUCAGCUCUGGCCACCUGGCCUCCGGGACGGCUCGCUGAAUCCAUGAAUGAACGGGCCGCUCUCCAGAGAGUGGUGUCAGGCCUUCUCACAACCUCUUCUUGUCAGAUCAGAGAUGGCUUGCUCCCAGGUGUCCUGGCGGAGCUGGCCUGGCCCAGCGGGCAGCACUGCGAGGCCGCAGGGGUGAGGAGCCGGCCAGCCGCACCACAUGGCUCUCCUGGAACAGAGCUGGCCGGGCCCUGCCAAGCUGCCUGGAGCACUAGGGCAGGAGUCUGUGGCAGGGACAAGGUCAAGAACUGCAUCUGGAGGGAGAGGCAGUUCCCGAGAAAGGUGGCAAUCCUUGUCCAGCAAAGCAGCCAGGGAGGCCAGCCCUGGAGAAAGGAAAGGGACAAAGCAGCAUGCAUGCAUUUCCCCCUUGAAAUGGAUUUGUUGCUCGCAGUCAAAGCAGAAAAUGGACUAGCUUCUGAUAGUGGCUGAUGGCAGAACUGUAGCCAUUCCAGGGAAACCCUGGUCGGUUCAGGUUUUCUAGUCAGCUUUUUUUUUUCUUUCCUGCCGGGCAUCUCUUAAGUUCUGAGGUCCUGUGGUGUGUCCGGGGGUCUGGCCCUCCUCGGUCAUUGCACAGCCCUGCCGGCUUACUCAGGGAGGCCUAUCUAUCUCUCUCUGGGACCUGAGAAACUUUUGGAUGGUGUCUUUUCCUACUCUGGGGCUGCAGGGAACUCGGGGACAUUGCCUCAGACGGGCCAUUCCUCCAUGAUGAUGGCAAUGAUCAAGAUACUUAUUAUUUACUAGGUAUGGCCCUGUUCUAACUGCUUACCAUGAAUAAACUCAUUUUAUCCUCUCAA
ensembl:lncRNA